GAUGAACGCUGGCGGCGUGCUUAACACAUGCAAGUCGAACGGAAAGGCGCUGCUCUUGUGGGGUGCUCGUGAGGCGCACGGGUGAGUAUAACGUGAGGAUCCUGCCCUUGUCUUUGGGAUAACUCUAGGAAACUGGGGCUAAUACCGCAUAGGAGAUCCUGCUCCAUGGUGGGGGUUGGAGAGUUUCGGCGGUGGGGGAUGGACUCGCGGCUUAUCAGCCUGUUGGGGGGGUAGUGGCUGACCAAGGCUGUGACGGCUAGCCGGCCUGGGAGGGUGACCGGCCACAAGAGGACUACGAGACGGCCCAGACGGCUACGGGAGGCAGCAGGGGGGAGUAUUGCGCAACGGGCGGAAGCCUGAUGCAGCAGUGUUGGGAGCGGGAUGACGGCCUACGGGGGGUAAACCACUUUCGCCUGUGACGAAGCGUGAGUGACGGUAAUGGGUAAAGAAGCACCGGCUAACUACGUG
rnacentral:rRNA from 1 species